CCUACGGGGGGCAGCAGUGAGGAAUAUUGGUCAAUGGACGAGAGUCUGAACCAGCCAAGUAGCGUGAAGGAUGACUGCCCUAUGGGUUGUAAACUUCUUUUAUAUGGGAAUAAAAUGUUCCACGUGUGGGAUUUUGUAUGUACCAUAUGAAUAAGGAUCGGCUAACUCCGUGCCAGCAGCCGCGGUGAUACGGAGGAUCCGAGCGUUAUCCGGAUUUAUUGGGUUUAAAGGGAGCGUAGGUGGAUUGUUAAGUCAGUUGUGAAAGUUUGCGGCUCAACCGUAAAAUUGCAGUUGAAACUGGCAGUCUUGAGUACAGUAGAGGUGGGCGGAAUUCGUGGUGUAGCGGUGAAAUGCUUAGAUAUCACGAAGAACUCCGAUUGCGAAGGCAGUUCACUGGACUGCAACUGACACUGAGGCUCGAAAGUGUGGGUAUCAAACAGGAUUAGAUACCCCAGUAGUC
rnacentral:rRNA from 1 species